rnacentral:rRNA from 1 species
UACAGAGGUGGCAAGCGUUGUUCGGAAUUACUGGGCGUAAAGGGCGCGUAGGCGGUUCGUUAAGUCCUGUGUGAAAUCCCCCGGCUCAACUGGAGAACUGCACAGGAAACUAGCGGGCUUGAGUUCGGGAGAGGGAAGCGGAAUUCCGGGUGUAGCGGUGAAAUGCGUAGAUAUCCGGAGGAACACCGGUAGCGAAGGCGGCUUCCUGGACCGACACUGACGCUGAGGCGCGAAAGCUAGGGGAGCAAACGGG